GAGUGAACGCUGGCGGUAGGCCUAACACAUGCAAGUCGAACGGCAGCACAGUAAGAGCUUGCUCUUACGGGUGGCGAGUGGCGGACGGGUGAGGAAUACAUCGGAAUCUACUUUUUCGUGGGGGAUAACGUAGGGAAACUUACGCUAAUACCGCAUACGACCUACGGGUGAAAGCAGGGGAUCUUCGGACCUUGCGCGAUUGAAUGAGCCGAUGUCGGAUUAGCUAGUUGGCGGGGUAAAGGCCCACCAAGGCGACGAUCCGUAGCUGGUCUGAGAGGAUGAUCAGCCACACUGGAACUGGGACACGGUCCAGACUCCUACGGGAGGCAGCAGUGGGGAAUAUUGGACAAUGGGCGCAAGCCUGGUCCAGCCAUACCGCGUGGGUGAAGAAGGCCUUCGGGUUGUAAAGCCCUUUUGUUGGGAAAGAAAAGCAGCAGGUUAAUACCCCGCUGUUCUGACGGUACCCAAAGAAUAAGCACCGGCUAACUUCGUG
rnacentral:rRNA from 1 species